UGGGGAAUUUUACACAAUGGGGGAAACCCUGAUGUAGCAACGCCGCGUGGAGGAUGACGGAUCUAGGUCUGCAAACUCCUUUUAUAAGGGAAGAAAUUUGACGGUACCUUAUGAAUAAGCACCGGCUAACUCCGUGCCAGCAGCCGCGGUAAUACGGAGGGUGCGAGCGUUAUCCGGAUUUACUGGGUUUAAAGGGUGCGUAGGUGGGCUUAUAAGUCAGUGGUGAAAUCUCCGAGCUUAACUUGGAAACUGCCGUUGAUACUAUAGGUCUUGAAUUAUCUGGAGGUAAGCGGAAUAUGUCAUGUAGCGGUGAAAUGCUUAGAUAUGACAUAGAACACCAAUUGCGAAGGCAGCUUACUACAUAUAAAUUGACGCUGAGGCACGAAAGCGUGGGGAUCAAACA
rnacentral:rRNA from 1 species